CUCUAGAAAAACAAAAAGAAUUUUAGAAUUAUAGAGAAAAAAUUGCGGUUGGUGAGAUUUUUUUUGGUGAAAUUAAGGUUGAUUAUGUUGAGAUCUAUCGGAUAUGCUGAAUUUUGUAUGUUUUUCAGUUUAUUUGUGUGAAAUUUGAUGUUUUAUAAGAGGUUUUUCGAGUUUAUAUAGUUGAAUAAAAUUGAAUUUUGGAUGAAAAUUAGAGUUGAGUUUUGAUUGGAUUUGCUAAAUUUUGUUUGUUUUUCAGUGAAUUUUGAUAUUUUGUGAGAGAUUUUGAAGCUGAUAUAAUUGAAAAAUUGAAUUUUGAAUGAAAAUUGGGUCGUCGUCAUCAUCAUCAGCGGUGAUGGCAGAGGUGGUGGUUGAGAAUAAAUGGGUAAAGUUGAUGAUAAAGUGUAUGUCCC
rnacentral:lncRNA from 1 species